CGGGAGUAAUGUAUGGGGACCGUGCCCGAUAGAGGGGGAUAACUACUGGAAACGGGUGGCUAAUACCGCAUAAUGUCUACGGACCAAAGCAGGGGCUCUUCGGACCUUGCACUAUCGGAUGAACCCAUAUGGGAUUAGCUAGUAGGUGGGGUAAAGGCUCACCUAGGCGACGAUCUCUAGCUGGUCUGAGAGGAUGAUCAGCCACACUGGGACUGAGACACGGCCCAG
rnacentral:rRNA from 1 species